GAAACAUCUAAGUACCCGGAGGAAGAGAAAACAAAAGUGAUUACGCUAGUAGCGGCGAGCGAACGCGUAUUAGCCCAAACCAUAUCGUUUACGGACGGUAUGGGGUUGUAGGACCACGACAUUUUAUGCAUAAUGAAUUAGAACCCUUUGGAAAGAGGGGCCAAAGACGGUGAUAGCCCGGUAUAGGUAAAGCAUGUUAUAGAUAGUGGUAUCCUGAGUAGUGCGGGGCACGUGAAACCCUGUAUGAAUCCGGCGGGACCAUCCGCCAAGGCUAAAUACUCCUGAGAGACCGAUAGUGAACCAGUACCGUG
rnacentral:rRNA from 1 species